AUUGAACGCUGGCGGCAGGCUUAACACAUGCAAGUCGAGCGGGGUGAUGGUGCUUGCACUAUCACUUAGCGGCGGACGGGUGAGUAAUGCUUAGGAAUCUGCCUAUUAGUGGGGGACAACAUCUCGAAAGGGAUGCUAAUACCGCAUACGUCCUACGGGAGAAAGCAGGGGAUCUUUAUGACCUUGCGCUAAUAGAUGAGCCUAAGUCGGAUUAGCUAGUUGGUGGGGUAAAGGCCUACCAAGGCGACGAUCUGUAGCGGGUCUGAGAGGAUGAUCCGCCACACUGGGACUGAGACACGGCCCAGACUCCUACGGGAGGCAGCAGUGGGGAAUAUUGGACAAUGGGGGGAACCCUGAUCCAGCCAUGCCGCGUGUGUGAAGAAGGCCUUAUGGUUGUAAAGCACUUUAAGCGAGGAGGAGGCUCUUUUGGUUAAUACCCAGAAUGAGUGGACGUUACUCGCAGAAUAAGCACCGGCUAACUCUGUGCCAGCCGCCGCCGUAA
rnacentral:rRNA from 1 species